rnacentral:rRNA from 1 species
GAUGAACGCUGGCGGCGUGCCUAAUACAUGCAAGUCGAGCGAACAGACGAGGAGCUUGCUCCUCUGACGUUAGCGGCGGACGGGUGAGUAACACGUGGAUAACCUACCUAUAAGACUGGGAUAACUUCGGGAAACCGGAGCUAAUACCGGAUAAUAUAUUGAACCGCAUGGUUCAAUAGUGAAAGACGGUUUUGCUGUCACUUAUAGAUGGAUCCGCGCCGCAUUAGCUAGUUGGUAAGGUAACGGCUUACCAAGGCAACGAUGCGUAGCCGACCUGAGAGGGUGAUCGGCCACACUGGAACUGAGACACGGUCCAGACUCCUACGGGAGGCAGCAGUAGGGAAUCUGCCGCAAAGGGCGAAAGCCUGACGGAGCAACGCCGCGUGAGUGAUGAAGGUCUUCGGAUCGUAAAACUCUGUUAUUAGGGAAGAACAAAUGUGUAAGUAACUAUGCACGUCUUGACGGUACCUAAUCAGAAAGCCACGGCUAACUACGUG